UGUAAGCGUAUACCAAAGUUGUUGCAGUUAAAACGCUCGUAGUCGGAAUUUGGCAGUUCCGGAUGUGUGCACGUCGUGUGCGCACUUCGCGGGGAUUGCUUUUGUGGUCUUGCGUAGGAUGAGGCACUUUUAUUAGUGAACGUCCUCACGCAACCACUUUUUACUGUGAGAAAAUCAGAGUGCUCAAAGCAGGCAUUUGCCGUGAAUGUAUUAGCAUGGAAUAAUAGAAUAGGACUUGGUUCUAUUUUGUUGGUUUGUUGGGACUGAGUAAUGAUUAAGAGGGACAGUUGGGGGCAGUUGUAUUUCGGUGCUAGAGGUGAAAUUCUUAGAUUACCGAAAGACAAACUGCUGCGAAAGCGUCUGCCAAGGAUGUUUUCAUUGA
rnacentral:rRNA from 1 species